UCUCUCCCCCAUAAAGUUUAGCCUUUUGUUCUUUCCAUAUUUUUCAAUAAAAAUUUUACUUCCAUUACACCGAUUUUCUUUUCCUCAGAAAUCAUGAGCCACUAAACUUAUCUAGCCAAAAGUUGUCAAAAAUCACCAAAAAAAGUUGAUGAGGCUUAGAAUUCGCGCUUAGCUUUCUCAAAAGAGUAUUCGUCGUUUUUUCACAUUAUGGGGCUGACGCUUCCGUCCAUAUCCCUUAAAAAGUGAUCUUUUCAACGUGUGUAAGGAACGACUACUUUGUAUAUUUUGGGAAGGUUGCACAGUCGGUUCAUUAGCUUACUGCGUCAAAGGUUGGUGAGCCUAAGAGAUAAAGUGGCGUGGUAUUCGCCAUUGAGAAGUGAUGAUCUAGCAUAAGAUGAUCCCACAAAAGUAAUUGUUGGCUAGAGUCAGGUUUCGCUAAAUCGUAAGUCUAAAAUCUUGGAGCUGGUGGUCGUAGGCGUCCUCUUCCACUAUAACUGGCUUAUUCUGUUUUUUAUCAAAACUUUUAAUUCUUUUUUUUCCCCAGGUAUGUAGGUUUUCUUGGGCACGAUUCUGACCAAGAUUUCGAGAAACAAGCAAUUGUGUAAAUCCGGUCCCUGAAGAUUUGACCCUACUUCUCUUAUACUAUUAUUUUUAUUAUUUCCAAUAUUUUAUAGGGAUAUGAUUUUUUGGUGCUCUUAACGACAACAUCACUUAUUGAUAGUGAAAUACCCC
rnacentral:lncRNA from 1 species